rnacentral:rRNA from 1 species
AUCCAGACUCCUACGGGAGGCAGCAGUGGGGAAUAUUGCACAAUGGGGGGAACCCUGAUGCAGCGACGCCGCGCGGGUGAAGGAGUACUUCGGUACGUAAAGCCCUAUCAGCAGGAAAGAAAAUGACGGUACCUGACUAAGAAGCCCCGGCUAACUACGUGCCAGCAGCCGCGGUAAUACGUAGGGGGCAAGCGUUAUCCGGAUUUACUGGGUGUAAAGGGAGCGUAGACGGCGAUGCAAGCCAGAUGUGAAAGCCCGGGGCUCAACCCCGGGACUGCAUUUGGAACUGUGUGGCUGGAGUGUCGGAGAGGCAGGCGGAAUUCCUAGUGUAGCGGUGAAAUGCGUAGAUAUUAGGAGGAACACCAGUGGCGAAGGCGGCCUGCUGGACGAUGACUGACGUUGAGGCUCGAAAGCGUGGGGAGCAAACAGGAUUAGAUCCCCAGUAAC